rnacentral:ncRNA from 1 species
GGCACACAACCUGCUCAUGCCUCUGUACAGGUAGCCAACGGCGGUUGCCCCACCCCGACAAAAGACGUCGC